GACGAACGCUGGCGGCGUGCUUAACACAUGCAAGUCGAACGGAAAGGCCCUGCUUUUGUGGGGUGCUCGAGUGGCGAACGGGUGAGUAACACGUGAGUAACCUGCCCUUGACUUUGGGAUAACUUCAGGAAACUGGGGCUAAUACCGGAUAGGAGCUCCUGCUGCAUGGUGGGGGUUGGAAAGUUUCGGCGGUUGGGGAUGGACUCGCGGCUUAUCAGCUUGUUGGUGGGGUAGUGGCUUACCAAGGCUUUGACGGGUAGCCGGCCUGAGAGGGUGACCGGCCACAUUGGGACUGAGAUAGGGCCCAGACUCCUACGGGAGGCAGCAGGGGGGAAUAUUACACAAUGGGCGGGAGCCUGAUGCAGCAACGCCGCGUGCGGGAUGACGGCCUUCGGGUUGUAAACCUCUUUCGCCUGUGACGAAGCGUGAGUGACGGUAAUGGGUAAAGAAGCACCGGCUAACUACGUG
rnacentral:rRNA from 1 species